AGGGUGACGGGUGCAGCUGGUUCGCCCUGUCCGCCAGGCAGGAGCGUCGUAAGAGGGAACCCGGUGGGAAUCCGGGACUGCCCCGCAGCGGUGAGUGGGAACGACCGCCGUCUUACGCACUGGGCCCGGACGGGUCUGGGAAGCGACGGCCAGUAGGUGUCUCGUACGCGUACGAGACGGGCCCGCGAGUCCGAAGACCUGCCCGUUGCCCGCACGCGAC
rnacentral:ncRNA from 2 species